CCUACGGGUGGCUGCAGUGGGGAAUAUUGGACAAUGGGGGAACCCUGAUCCAGCCAUGCCGCGUGUGUGAAGAAGGCCCUCGGGUUGUAAAGCACUUUCAGUGAGGAAGAACGCCUGGUGGUUAAUACCCAUCAGGAAAGACAUCACUCACAGAAGAAGCACCGGCUAACUCCGUGCCAGCAGCCGCGGUAAUACGGAGGGUGCGAGCGUUAAUCGGAAUUACUGGGCGUAAAGCGCGCGUAGGUGGCUUGAUAAGCCGGUUGUGAAAGCCCCGGGCUCAACCUGGGAACGGCAUCCGGAACUGUCAAGCUAGAGUGCAGGAGAGGAAGGUAGAAUUCCCGGUGUAGCGGUGAAAUGCGUAGAGAUCGGGAGGAAUACCAGUGGCGAAGGCGGCCUUCUGGACUGACACUGACACUGAGGUGCGAAAGCGUGGGUAGCAAACAGGAUUAGAUACCCCAGUAGUC
rnacentral:rRNA from 1 species